rnacentral:rRNA from 1 species
UACGUAGGGUGCAAGCGUUGUCCGGAAUUAUUGGGCGUAAAGAGCUUGUAGGCGGUCUGUCGCGUCUGCUGUGAAAAUCCGGGGCUCAACCCCGGACUUGCAGUGGGUACGGGCAGACUAGAGUGUGGUAGGGGAGACUGGAAUUCCUGGUGUAGCGGUGAAAUGCGCAGAUAUCAGGAGGAACACCGAUGGCGAAGGCAGGUCUCUGGGCCACUACUGACGCUGAGGUGCGAAAGCGUGGGGAGCAAACAGG